GGAUAACACCUGGAAACAGAUGCUAAUACCGGAUAACAACAGAUGAUGCCUAUCAACUGUUUAAAAGAUGGUUCUGCUAUCACUCUUGGAUGGACCUGCGGUGCAUUAGCUAGUUGGUAGGGUAACGGCCUACCAAGGCGAUGAUGCAUAGCCGAGUUGAGAGACUGAUCGGCCACAUUGGGACUGAGACACGGCCCAAACUCCUACGGGAGGCAGCAG
rnacentral:rRNA from 1 species